rnacentral:lncRNA from 1 species
AAUAUGUUUUAAUUAGUGUAUAACCACCUGAGUAUAAGUAUUGUUGUUUUUUUGUUACCUUAGAACGACAGACAAAUGUUUCUACGGUAGGCCAGAACGGACCAGAUUGAGCCUUUUGCUUUUUUAACAGCCACCGUAGUUUCUCCUACAUGGUUUAAUGAGCUAGUUAGCUAAUCAACAUCAAUUGUUAGAUAGUCACAUCUGAAAACUAAUCUUAACUUUAAAUUAAAAAACAUAGCUGUAGAUUAAGUUUCUCCUACAUGUUGGAACUUUAACUAAAAUGUUUUUCAACAGCUAGUUUUUAGUUUUAAUUUACUAUAAUAACGUUGGUCGGCCUCGUCAGCUGCUUUCUGUAAUUAAGUGCUCUUCAUUUUCCCUCCAGCUCGCACAAACUAUUUCCUCUUUGUGCGUUCGGUAUGAAAACUGCUGCCAGAGUCAGUACUCUCUCUGGUCUCUCCCUUUUUUUGUUGUUUUCAACCGCAUUACUCGGUUGAGAUACAGUUAAUUACACAACUUUCGAGUCGCCGUCAAACUCUGUGUUGCCUGGCAACCAGGAUGUUGUAACACUGCUCGUGGCCUUGGACUUGUCGCUCCUCUUGCCACCGUCGACACUUUCUGGUUUGUGUGUUUUUUUUUUUUUUUUAAAAGAUAAAAGCAUCUCUCGUCUGAUUAUCGUCAUGAGUCUCUUUGUAAAAUUAAAAACUAACAGGUGACGUAUUAUAAUUUGUGCUUGAAGCUUUUUGUGUCCAGUCUGUUCCAGGUCAGAUUAGGGUUUCUCCAUCCAGAGAGUCCAGUUAUUUCAUCCCGAUCCUUUGAGGAUAAUCAUCUAUGAGCCUGAGGGAUCUGAGCCAGUGCCUUGCUCAAGGGCACCAACUGGAGAACCAGAGGAAACCCGUGCAAGGCCGCAGCUGGGACUUGAACCCACAACCUACUAACUACUGAGCCACUGGCUAGGGGAGCUAUAGCCACCCUGGUCAACUUUCUCCUUCACUGUACUUGUACAUGUGCUACAUGCUAGGCUCGUCUACGUUGAAAAGACAAACCACAUUUUGAAGAUGAAGAGGAAGAUUAACUUUAUUAAUUCCCAGUGGGGAAAUUAAAAAAAAAAAUUCUAAAAAGAUAAUGUUAGCAAAACUCUAAUUUCUAAAAUCUAAUUUACACAAGUUGUUAGUUUGCUGGUUGGCUAACGCUCCACAUAGAUUAACUAAUUUAAAACAUGACUUUUAUCUUUUAACCAUCU